AACAAAUGCCAUAAAUUAAAAGGGACUUCGAGCGACUGGGGGGCUUAUAAAGGAAUUUUCACGAGACGCUCGCAAGAGGAGAUAAACACGGGGGGGUAAUUCCUGCGUGAUUCUAGGCCCACAUUUCAAUGCAAAGCGCAUGACUACAAGGGGAAGAUGGACUAACCUGCAGUCGAAUUGCAUUUUGAAAUCAUGGCACCUAGUAAUAUGUUGUUGGUUUUUUUUUUUGCAAUGCUGCUUUUAUAUAUAAUAAAUGUUUUAUUUUUGUCUCGUCAACGUCGAAGUCCCAACAGAAGGAGCUUGAACAUCCCGCCUAAUACAUCAAGAGUUUUGUGCGAAUGUGUGUUUUCGCUUUCCCUCUGACAUCUAGAACUGUUCUCUGCGUUUUCAACACUUUUUAUUUUUGCUUCUGUGUACCCGCGUGUCUGAGUUUCUGUCCUGUCCUGCGUCCGCGUGGAGUCUCGGGGGUCUGUACUCUCCCUUCACUCUCUCUCCCCCCCCCCCCAAAACCGGGGGCCUCUCGUGGUCGGGGGGCAAAGAAACUGAAUCGAUAUGCAUCGCUUUGUGUUAAACUUGAGAAAUCUUUUUUUUUUAAUUAUUAUUUUAACAUUGCACUGAUAACUGUUUUGUCUUUUUUUAAAAAAAAUGUUGGUGUAAUACCAACUUUAUUUUUUCUAAAUAGAAAAAAAAACACAGCAAAAUACUAUUGUAUACAAAGCUCCAGGUUGUACUCUUCUUUUAGUGUGCUGCUUUGUGAAACGUAAUGUUUGCAAAGUCAUUUAUAUUUCUGUGAUUGGGGUGUAUAUAUAAAUAUAUAUAUUAUAAAAUAAUCUCGAAGCACUUUGUUUCUGAAGUGCGGUCCUCCUGUUUUAGUGAAAGGGGAACAAUACAUUUGAUGGUAAGAUCAUUGUAACAAAAGAAGUUGCACGAUGGCUAUUUUCGAGGUUUACUUGAUGUGUCAUAACAUUUAUGGCAUAGGAGUAAAAAACAAAAUGAAAUGGUGGUGUUGAGUGAAAGUCUGAAGUUGGUGUUUUUGGACCAAGUUCUGAUCGUGUUUUGCUUUUUCAGCAAGCUAAAAAAAAAAAGAGAAAAUACCAGCAGCUUGGUUUGGAAAUAAAAAAAUGUACAAAGCGAGAUUAAAAGCCAGUUUUGUGAUAUGGAUGUUCCAUUGUGUGUUGAGUGCGUGUUUUUUUUUUUGGAAUUUUUUUAUUGUCGAAUGUUGUAACACUGUGAUCGAUGUGGAAACCGAAUCUGAAAUGGAUGCUGUAAUUUUGUACAUUUGUGUACAAGUCCGUAAAGAAAAAAAAAAUCAUUAAACCUUUACUCGUGGGGAAAUAUGAAAGGAAA